rnacentral:tRNA from 1 species
UUGUAGCCUCGCAGAUGGAGGAAGGAUGCCUCCCGCU